CGAAAAGGAAAAAAGAAUAUUCAGUGGAAGUAAGCAAAAUCGUAGCGAGUGAAUCGAGAAUCCAAGAAAGAAGAUCGACACUUAGGGAUCGGUGAAAGUA